rnacentral:rRNA from 1 species
GAUGAACGCUGGCGGCGUGCUUAAUACAUGCGAGUCGAGCGAAUGGAUUAAGAGCUUGCUCUUAUGAAGUUAGCGGCGGACGGGUGAGUAACACGUGGGUAACCUGCCCAUAAGACUGGGAUAACUCCGGGAAACCGGGGCUAAUACCGGAUAACACUUUGAACCGCAUGGUUCGAAAUUGAAAGGCGGCUUCGGCUGUCACUUAUGGAUGGACCCGCGUCGCAUUAGCUAGUUGGUGAGGUAACGGCUCACCAAGGCAACGCUGCGUAGCCGAACUGAGAGGGUGAUCGGCCACGCUGGGACUGAGACACGGCCCAGACUCCUACGGGAGGCAGCAGUAGGGAAUCUUCCGCAAUGGACGAAAGUCUGACGGAGCAACGCCGCGUGAGUGAUGAAGGCUUUCGGGUCGUAAAACUCUGUUGUUAGGGAAGAACAAGUGCUAGUUGAAUAAGCUGGCACCUUGACGGUACCUAACCAGAAAGCCACGGCUAACUACGUGCCAGCCGCCGCGGUAA